rnacentral:rRNA from 1 species
GGCGGUUAGAAAAGUCUGAAGUGAAAGGCAGUGUCUCAACCAGUGUAGGCUUUGGAACCUGUUUAACUUGAGUGCAGAAGGGGAGAGUGGAAUUCCAUGUGUAGCGUUGAAAUGCGUAGAUAAAUGGAGGAUCACCGGUGGCGAAAGCGGCUCUCUGGUCCGUAACUAACGCUGAGGCUGGAAAGCGUGGGGAGCGAACAGGAUUAGAUACCCUGGUAGUCCACCCCGUAAACGAUGAGUGCUAGGUGUUAGGUCCUUUCCGGGACUUAGUGCCGCAGCUAACGCAUUAAGCACUCCGCCUGGGGAGUACGACCGCACGGUUGAAACUCAAAGGAAUUGACGGGGGCCCGAACAAGCGGUGGAGCAUGUGGUUUAAUUCGAAGCAACGCGAAGAACCUUACCAGGUCUUGACAUCCCGAUGCUAUUUCUAGAGAUAGGAAGUUUCUUCGGAACAUCGGUGACAGGUGGUGCAUGGUUGUCGUCAGCUCGUGUCGUGAGAUGUUGGGUUAAGUCCCGCAACGAGCGCAACCCUUAAUGUUAGUUGCCAUCAUUGAGUUGGGCACUCUAGCGAGACUGCCGGUAAUAAACCGGAGGAAGGUGGGGAUGACGUCAAAUCAUCAUGCCCCUUAUGACCUGGGCUACACACGUGCUACAAUGGCUGGUACAACGAGUCGCAAGCCGGUGACGGCAAGCUAAUCUCUGAAAGCCAGUCUCAGUUCGGAUUGUAGGCUGCAACUCGCCUACAUGAAGUCGGAAUCGCUAGUAAUCGCGGAUCAGCACGCCGCGGUGAAUACGUUCCCGGGCCUUGUACACACCGCCCGUCAC